CCUACGGGAGGCAGCAGUGAGGAAUAUUGGUCAAUGGCCGUAAGGCUGAACCAGCCAAGUAGCGUGAGGGAAGACUGCCCUAUGGGUUGUAAACCUCUUUUAUGCGGGGAUAAAGGUGUCCACGUGUGGAUGUUUGCAGGUACCGCAUGAAUAAGGACAGGCUAAUUCCGUGCCAGCAGCCGCGGUACUACGGAAGAGACGGGCGUUGUCCGGUUUGGUUGGGUUUAAAGGGAGCGUAGGCCGGUCUUUAAGCUUGCCGUGAAAUUUUGGGGCUCAACCUUGGGAGUGCGGGGCGUACUGGAGACCUGGAGUGCGCGGAAGGCAGGCGGAAUUCGUGGUGUAGCGGUGAAAUGCGUAGAUAUCACGAAGAACCCCGAUUGCGAAGGCAGCCUGCCGCAGCGUUACUGACGCUGAAGCGCGAAAGCGCGGGUAUCGAACAGGAUUAGAUACCCUAGUAGUC
rnacentral:rRNA from 1 species